CUGCCUUGUCUGUGCGGCCAGGGAACCCCAGGCCCGGGGCCUCCACUAGUCCAGCCUCCACCCGCGCGCCUCGGCGGGCAGGGGCUGGGGGCCCUGUAGCACAGAGGUUAGCUUGGGGCCGUGGCCGCACCUGCCCGUCGCGGUCACCCGGGCCUCCCUUCUCUUAGAGGCCGCCAGUCUCUCACCUGGGCAACUCUGGGCAGGACUGGUGGCAAGGUGAGGACUAAGGUCCGCCCCGAGAGACUACGGAAGAGGGCGCUUCUCGAGCAGACCCGAGCAGCCACAGGUGGCCCCUCGCACUGUCCCUGCUUCCCUGCUCGGGUCUCCAAAAGCCCUUCUUGGGGGUCGCUGCCCCAUCUCACUUCCCAUCCCCACGAGUAGGGGGCCCUCUGAGACCUAAGCUGCGGGUCGGCUCGGGAGGGUCUCCCAAAGUGGGGGGCGGGGCGCACAGAUUCCCACCCCCGCCCCUCCAAGCUCUAGGGGAAUGGAUCUGGCUCCCCGAGGGCACACGCCGCCGGCCUGGGGUCAGGACGGAUGGGCGGCGAUGGUGGCAGGGGCAGGCGGGGCUCCGCGCCGGGUCCCACGAGGAGCGGGUGCGAGCCGGAGGGCCGGCUGUACAGGGCGUGGGUCGGCGGCGAUCCAGCGGGGGUGGAGCCGGGAGCCGGGAGCCGCAGCGACGACGCUGGGCGCUCAGAGCUAUGCGUCCGGGGUCUCGGAGAGCUCGAGGGUCGCCCACGUGGGGGCUGCUGCUGCUACUGGGCCUACCGUGGCCUGUGUGGGGGACGAAGGAGUUUCAAGGAAACAGCCUUGGAAAGCCAGUCAUUCUGCAUUGGAGCCUAGAUGGACAACCCCAGCGCGUGGUCACCCUGGAGGAGCCGGUCCCAAAGCUAGAAGUGAGGCUGGUGGCCUUGGAGGCUGAAGGUCAGGAGCUCCUGCUAGAGCUGGAGAAGAAUCACAGGCUGCUGGCCCCAGGAUACACAGAAACCCACUACAGCCCAGAUGGGCGGCCGGUAGUGCUGUUCCCCAACCACAAGCCCUGGCUGAGAUUUGGGGCUGGGUCCUUUGCUCUCCAGGAUCAUUGCCACUACCAUGGGCAUGUAAGGGGCUUCCUGGACUCCUGGGUGGUCCUCAGCAUCUGCUCUGGGAUGAGGGGCCUGAUCACACUCAGCAGCAAUGCCAGCUAUUAUGUGCAUCCCUCGCCAGCUGGGGACUCCAAGGACUUCUUGACCCAUAGGAUCUUCCGGGUGGAGCAGCUGUUCAGAGGGAAAGGAACCUGUGGCCACAGGGACCCAAAGGACAAAAGGAACAUGACCAGCCUUUCGUGUGCCACCCAGAUCAGGGAGAGGCGGGAGUCCCUCCGGAGCCCGAGGUACCUGGAGCUGUACAUAGUAGGGGACCACACCCUGUUUUUGACUCAGCACAGGAACUUGAACCACGCCAAACAGCGUCUUCUGGAGGUCGCCAAUUAUGUGGAUCAGAUUCUCAGGACUUUGGACAUUAAGGUGGUGCUGACCGGCCUGGAAGUGUGGACCGAGCAGGACCAGAGCCGCGUCACGCCAGACGCGAACGCCACGCUGUGGGCCUUCUUGCAGUGGCGCCGGGGGCUGUGGGCGCGGCAGCCACACGACUCUGCUCAGCUACUCACGGGCCAAGCUUUCCGGGGCGCCACAGUGGGCCUGGCACCCGUCGAGGGCAUGUGCCUCGCGGAGAGCUCUGGAGGCGUGACGACAGACCAUUCGGAGUUCCCCAUUGGUGCUGCAGCCACCAUGGCCCACGAGAUAGGCCACAGCCUCGGCCUCAGCCACGACCCCCACGGCUGCUGCGCGGAGGCGGCGGUGGAGCAGGGCGGCUGCGUGAUGGCGGCGGCUACCGGGCACCCGUUCCCUCGCGUGUUUAGCGCCUGCAGCCGCCGCCAGCUACGCGCCUUCUUCCGAAAGGGAGGGGGCGCUUGCCUCUCCAACGCGCCGGACUCCGGGCUCCUGGUGCCGCAGGCGCGCUGCGGGAACGGCUUUGUAGAAAAGGGCGAGGAGUGCGAUUGCGGCGCCGGCCAGGAGUGCCCCGACUCCUGCUGCCUUGCCCACAACUGCUCGCUGCGUGCGGGGGCCCAGUGCACCCACGGGGACUGCUGCGCACACUGCCUGGUGAGGCUGAAGCCGGCGGGCACGCCAUGCCGCCCGGCUGCGGGAGACUGUGACCUCCCUGAAUUCUGCACCGGAGCCUCCCCUUAUUGCCCACCGGACAUUUACCUACUGGACGGCUCGCCCUGCGCCAGAGGCCGCGGCUACUGUCGGGACGGCGCGUGUCCCACGCUGGAGCAGCAGUGCCAGCAGCUCUGGGGGCCUGGCUCGCGCCCAGCCCCGGAGGCUUGCUUCCAGGUCGUGAACUCCGCGGGAGACGCCCAGGGGAACUGCGGCCAGCAGGGAGACGGCAACUUCGUACACUGUGCGCAGAGGGAUGCGCAGUGUGGGAAACUGCAGUGCCAGGGCGGGGAACAGAGCGCACUGGUGCCACACGCGGUUCCGGUGGACUCCACCGUACACCUGGGCAGCCGCGAGGUGACUUGCAGGGGAGCUUCGGUGCUGCCCGGUGUCCAGCUGGACCUGCCUGACUUGGGCCUGGUAGAGGCAGGCACCCAGUGUGGACCUAGAAUGGUGUGCCAGGAAAGGCGCUGCCAGAACACUACCUUCCAAGAGCUGGAGCUCUGCCUGAUGGCCUGCCAUGGCCGCGGGACCGGGACGCCUUCACGCUGGCGAUGAUCCUUAGCUCUGUGCUACCUCUGCUCCCUGGGGCUGGCCUGGCCUGGUGCUGCUGCCGGCGUCCUGGACUCUGUCUCCAGCAAUGCUUCUGGGGUUCAAGGAGGGCCCUCAUGUGCAGUGGGUAGGCACAGAGGUCUAAGGUUCUGCUCCUCAGAGCUCUGCUGGACCUGGCGUAGCUGGGGUGGUAUCUGUUGCCUCAGGUGCAGAGAGGCAGGCAGAAGCAAUGGAAAGAAGCCUUGAGCAGAAGGCCCCAGUGGUCUUCCAGUGAAGCCAAAGGUGUAGGGCCAUGCAGGGCCCCCACGGCCCCCAUUACUGUGGUUCAGUACCCCUUUUCCAUGUCUCCUGUUUCUCCCACCAAGAGGCUGCUUUAUCCUUGGCUUUACCCUGUUUUUCCACCAGCUCAUAGCGCAACUCCUGCUCCACUGAGUAAGGCCUCUCCAGUUUCUCUCUCAUGAACUUUCAGCCCUCUGACAUUUCUUCUGCCAAAAUCUCUGCUGUUACCCCCUUAAAGUUCCCAAAUGCUGGGGCCAACACACCUUUCCUUUCCUUGUCACUGAGGAGCUGUGGUGCUGGCUGCCUUGUGCCAAGGGCCUGCCCCUAACACAGAGCUCCAUGACCUGGGAUGAGGGCCACGUGAUACCAAGUAUUGUCAGUCUAGGGCAGCCUGCUCACUGGGUGCUGGGCAAGGCAGGCCCCCUUUGACCACCUCUGACACAGCCUGGCCUUGGGGACAUUCUGGGCAAAAUGAGGGAGAGGGCGUGGUUUGGACUGGAGAUGGGAAUACAGGGCAUCCCAAGCAGGAGCAGGGCACAGCUGAAAGGGCCUUGACACAAUGAGUGUUGAUUGUGGGUCUGUGAGCAGAGGAUCAAGGUGGUCAGAGCUUGGUGUGUCAUCACUGGGGGCUUACAGGAGGCAGCGACUACAUGUCAUCACCUGGUAAAGUAUUGAGACUGUUGUUUCAAAGAGAUAUCAAAGGAAGUGGUAAGGCCCUAGAAAAUGAGAUGUGAGCAGCUGAGCAUAACUCAGAGUCAUCGAGGGCAGCAGGGUUACCCAAUAGCAAGGAGCACAGACAUGGGUACCACUGGGAAAGGAAGCCCAUCCCUCUUUGGGACCUGAGUGACAUCAACAUCUGGAAGAUGUUCGGGUGUGCCAGAGUUUGGGGAAAAUGUCAGGGUUGGAGAGAGAAAGUGUCCAAGGCCCUGGGAAGCAUAAAUCUCUAGGGUUCCCCUCAGGAGGGAGCAGGAAGCGAGCUGGGGAGAGUGACCUGGGUGCAAGCUUCUACCGCAGGGAAGCAGCCCCAGGGUGCCAUGUCGCUGUCUAAGUCUCCUGGUCUGUUACCCGCUGCCCAGAUCCAAAGAUGGCCCAUGCAGAGGCCACCCUCUGGGCAGCAUUCACCCAAUGGAGUUACGCCUGACAGCCCCUCAGGAGCCCCAGCCUUUGGACCUUGAGAACUCUGCUAGAACCCAACAGCCACCUUGAGAAGUCUGUUCCUCAUAGUC